rnacentral:rRNA from 1 species
AACGAACGUUGGCGGCGUGGUUGAGGCAUGCAAGUCGCACGAGAACGGAGGGGCAACUCUCCUAGUAAAGUGGCGGAAGGGUGAGUAAUGGGUAGAUGACGUACCGUGUAAUGGGGGAUAACGUAGCGAAAGUUACGCUAAUACCGCAUACGACCUGAGGGUGAAAGCAGGGGAUCGCAAGACCUUGCGUUAUACGAGCGGCCGAUGUCAGAUUAGCUAGUUGGUGAGGUAAAGGCUCACCAAGGCGACGAUCUGUAGCGGGUCUGAGAGGAUGAUCCGCCACACUGGGACUGAGACACGGCCCAGACUCCUACGGGAGGCAGCAGUGGGGAAUUUUGGACAAUGGGGGCAACCCUGAUCCAGCCAUGCCACGUGAGUGAAGAAGGCCUUCGGGUUGUAAAGCUCUUUCGGCCGGGAAGAAAUCGCACAGGCUAAUACCCUGUGUGGAUGACGGUACCGGCAUAAGAAGCACCGGCUAACUACGUGCCAGCCGCCGCUGUAAGAC